AGCCUCAGCUCCGUCCCGUCAGCACCAUCCAGCCAACCUGAAAACAUUUGAAAGUAUUUUUGGGCUAAGUACUAAUGUACUUAGUGGGCAUGCAUUUUCAUAAACAUUUCAUAUUUUCAUAAAGACAGUUUAUCCAAUUAUACUUGACAUGACUUAGAAGGUUUUAAAUUGAAAGAACUUCUAAGCAUGUUAAAACAUUUCUUUCAUUUGUGCGCACAUGUCACACUCCCUUUCUGUUACUCGCUGUGAUCCCGGACCUUUUAGCCACCGACGGAUCCAUUUCUCCCAUUACACUUGCCCUGAGGACGUAACUCAGACAAGUUGAAUUGACCUCGGGACGCUACCCAGGCAGGCCCUUACAUUAUAUGCUUCGGAACACAUCCAGCAAGCACCCUUAUAACGCCUCUUAGUUAGUGCCCGAAUGGAGAUCAACCCACCGAGUCAGCUAACGGUGUACACAAUUCUCAAAUAACGUGUUAGGCUAUAAGAGAACCUCAAUUGAUUCGUUGUGGCGAGCCUUAAACAGAGCAGAGUGCACAUAAACAUUUUAUUGGAUAAACAGUUUGCAUUUCAUUGAAUAAAUAAUUUGCAUUUCAUUGAAACAUUUAGAGCUUAAUAACUCAAUCAUACUUUAUACAUUUGGAAAGUAAGCCCACCUGGAUAGGCAAAGCCUGAAGAUCAUAAUCACAUAACUUGUCUUGGGAAAGCAGCGCUAAUCCCCUUGGUUCAUAAAGCCUACAAGAAAUUCUAUUCUUAAUAGGUCUCCUUGAAUCUAAUCUUAAGUCAUGGUGUAGUGCUUAACAUUCUAUGAUUCACUUAGCCGGGUUUUCAAAAUUUAGUAAAUAAAUAAUUGAAAACUAAAUUCUUGAGUUAAGGACACCAACAAUAUCCUUACUCGAUUUUCUUAAAUAAUUGGAUUUAUAAAUAAACCAAUUAAAUACUAAAUACUUUUAUUGCAAAAUAAAUGCAAUUUCAUGUCAUGCUUAGCAUAUAAUAAGUAAUUACUUAAAAUAUGCACAUAAUAAUAAUAUGAUAUUAUUAUGCAAAUUAAAAUAAUUAAUCAAACUUAAGAAGUCUAAUUAAUUAAAAUAGUGCAGUCCAUUAAAAGAGGAAGCUGCACAGCCCAAUUGAAUAACUUAAGGGCCCAAGGAAUUAAAUAAAAACAAUCAGCCCAACUGAUAAAAUUUAAAUAAAACUCGGCCCAACACUCGGCCCAACACUCAAAGCCCUAGCCCAACACCCAUCUUCUUCUUCCCCUCCCUCAUCAGUCACGCACCAUCAGUCUCUCUCUCUCUCGACUGACUGCUCGUCCCUCUCUCUCUAUUCGACUCACGGCCGCGCGCCACCACCCCCGGCGACGAGCGCCGCUCCGGAACACUCCUCCCUCGAGCCCCUGUCACUCCCCCUGUUCUCUCUCCUCCUCGGCAACGACGAAAACGCCGCCGCCUCCCUCGGCCUCUCUCCCUCUUGCCCGUUUCCGGCGACUGCAGCAGCAAGGCUGCCGCCGACGCGACUCCCAUCUCUCUCCCUCCGUUCUCUCAACUUCCCCUGCUCUCAGAUCCGGCAGCCGCGGUCAGUGGCUUCACGCCACCACCGUCAGCACACCACUCCCUCUCUGAACUUCCGGCGACAGCAGCCAUGGCUGCCGCCGUCGACUCUCUCCUUCCCUCCACUAACUCAACCCAUCUCUCUCUCUAUUCUGUGACAGUGGCGAACCACCACCACCACCACCGGACGGACAGCAGCGAUGAGCCACCGCCGGCUCCCUCGAUUCUCUCUCGUCCUCCUCAGUCAUCCUCCACCCCCGACUCAACUCAUACAGCAAGAUCGAAGGCAGGGAAACAAAAAUCAAAGCUUCAAAAAUUGAUCUUCUCUUUCUUCUUUUCUUUGAAAACAGAAAUCCAUGUACAAAUGAAUAGAUCGUGCAUAACGAAAUGAAAUCUGUACAAAUGAAUAGAUCGUGCAUAACGAAAUGAAAUCUGUACAAAUGAGUUGUUCGAAAACCUUGGUUUAAUGAUACAUGAGUAUGAGUGAUGUAUAUACGUAUAUAUGUACAUGAAUGUCAUUCUAAUUGAAAUGCUUGAAUGUGUUGCUGUGUACAACGAAGUGUUCGACUUAAGCUGUAAAAGCUAAUGAGAUGAAGGGGUUCAGGAGGGAACCUUUAUGACUUGUGAAUUUCUCGAAUCUGAAAUGGAGGAAAUAUCUGAAUAUCCAGGUUGCUGGAAUCAAGCUAUGGCAGCAGCGCACUUCAGGGAUGAAGAAGAGUUUUGUGAGAAGCUUAGAGUUUCAAGCAAAUUUCCAAAUGGUUCGGCUGUUGUAAAUGAAGAUUGGCAGAAAGUGGGGAUGUGAUUGCCUUCACUAGAGUAUGGCUA
rnacentral:lncRNA from 1 species